rnacentral:rRNA from 1 species
UACGGAGGGUGCGAGCGUUGUUCGGAAUCACUGGGCAUAAAGGGCGCGUAGGCGGCUUGUCAAGUCAGGGGUGGAAUCCGGCAGCUCAACUGUCGAAGUGCCUUUGAUACUGACGAGCUCGAGGGAGGUAGGGGUCGCUGGAACUUCCGGUGGAGCGGUGAAAUGCGUUGAUAUCGGAAGGAACGCCGGUGGCGAAAGCGGCUCACUGGACCGAAUCUGACACUGAGGUGCGAAAGCUAGGGUAGCAAACGGG